GCACUGGUUCUGAUGCUGCAGAUAUAUCACAGCAACUAGCUACUCAGAAUUCCAGGAUGGAUGGUCUCGACCAUCGCAUGGAUCAGUUUGCCCAGGCGCUACAGACCAUCUUGCAGCGUACUGCUCACCUCCAACCAGAGGCAGAGCAAGCUACGGCUGCCCCUCAGACUCCUGCUCUUGAGACUGUACCCAUUGUUCCAGCCCAUACUGUACAUAUGACACC